GCGCCGCGGCGACUGUGAGGCUCGCGCGGCCGCGAGGCGGUGACGUCAUCCCGAAGCGGGCGCCAAAAGGAGGAGGCGUUUUCUCGGGAACCCGCCCAGCCACGCUUGGGUGCGCGAGCUUGGCGCCCGCCCGCCUCACGGAGCCGUCCCGCAGCGCGGCAGCGAGCUGGGUUGGCUGCUGAGGUGCCGCGGGGUAACGGUCGCCGCGCGGCCUGGGUGUGGGUCCGGCAGGGAAGUGGGGCCGCCUCGCGCCCCUACCCGCAGCGCCGGGCCGAGGUGCUGCCACUCCCCGCGGGCCCGGCAGGUGGAGGAGGAUGAGCGUCGUGUGCUACCUCCUGCGGGGGCAGUUGUAGCGGGGCCCCCAGCUGCCCCCCCCCCUGCUCCUGUAACAGCGGUGUACGUGGGCCGAAGGGGGCGCGGCGGCCCAGCUUUCUCUGGCCGGGUCUGACUGGGGGGGGGGCGAAGGAAACCUGCGGGGCAGUAACAGAACUAGCAGGGGAGGCUGAUCAUUAGCCAAGUGCCCCUUGGCCGUGCGCCUGUGUGAUGGCGACAAGGCCAACACUGGGUCAGCGCCCACAGACCACCUGCCUGAUAGGACUCGCUCAUAAUUUACACUAGGGUGAGAGAAGAAUCAGGCCCCUCAGAAUUUUUUGAAGUAAUUCCAAUGAUUCCAAUGGUCAAGGAAACAGUCAGUACCAACCAGCAGGAAGAGAAGUGUUCAAGCACCGAUGGUAUUCUGCAAUAGUACUAUUACCUCUGGAAAAAAUAUCCUUGGAAAUUCAGACUACAUACCACAAACUGGAACAAGAAAUGAAUCCACAAAGCUUCAGAGACAUCACCCAAUCUGUACUCAUAAAUCUCCUACCCAAAUGGAGAUAAACAGUUAAUCCAGUUAAAAACAUAUCUAUACCUACAGGACCUAAUCUGAAUUUGUUCACAAGUUAAAAGAAGUCUACCUUGUUGUAAUAAUAAUAUAAUAAAAGCACUUAAUUUUAAAACAAUUGUUAACUAUUUUAAAUCUAAGUAUAAGAGACUAUUUUGCAUAUCUUAUAUAAAAUGUUAACAAUC